rnacentral:rRNA from 1 species
GGUUAAGUUAGAAAGGGCGCACGGUGGAUGCCUUGGCACUAGGAGCCGAAGAAGGACGGGACUAACACCGAUAUGCUUUGGGGAGCUGUACGUAAGCGUUGAUCCAGAGAUUUCCGAAUGGGGGAACCCACUAUCUUUAGUCGGAUAGUAUCCUUACGUGAAUACAUAGCGUGAGGAAGGCAGACCCAGGGAACUGAAACAUCUAAGUACCUGGAGGAAGAGAAAGAAAAAUCGAUUUCCUGAGUAGCGGCGAGCGAAACGGAAAGAGCCCAAACCAAGAAGCUUGCUUCUUGGGGUUGUAGGACACUCUAUACGGAGUUACAAAAGAAAGUUAUAAAUGAAGCGGUCUGGAAAGGCCCGCCAAAGACGGUAACAGCCCGGUAGUUGAAAUGGCUUUCCCUCCAGAGUGGAUCCUGAGUACGGCGGAACACGUGAAAUUCCGUCGGAAUCCGGGAGGACCAUCUCCCAAGGCUAAAUACUCCCUAGUGACCGAUAGUGAACCAGUACCGUGAGGGAAAGGUGAAAAGCACCCCGGAAGGGGAGUGAAACAGUUCCUGAAACCGUGUGCCUACAAGUAGUUAGAGCCCGUUAAUGGGUGAUAGCGUGCCUUUUGUAGAAUGAACCGGCGAGUUACGAUUUGUUGCAAGGUUAAGCGGAAAAAGCGGAGCCGUAGCGAAAGCGAGUCUGAAUAGGGCGCAUAAGUAACAGGUCGUAGACCCGAAACCAGGUGAUCUACCCAUGUCCAGGAUGAAGGUAAGGUAAUACUUACUGGAGGUCCGAACCCACGCACGUUGAAAAGUGCGGGGAUGAGGUGUGGGUAGCGGAGAAAUUCCAAUCGAACUUGGAGAUAGCUGGUUCUCUCCGAAAUAGCUUUAGGGCUAGCCUCGAGGUAAAGAGUCAUGGAGGUAGAGCACUGUUUGGACUAGGGGCCCUUCUCGGGUUACCGAAUUCAGAUAAACUCCGAAUGCCAUGUACUUAUACUCGGGAGUCAGACUGCGAGUGAUAAGAUCCGUAGUCGAAAGGGAAACAGCCCAGACCACCAGUUAAGGUCCCCAAAUAUAUGUUAAGUGGAAAAGGAUGUGGGGUUGCUUAGACAACCAGGAUGUUGGCUUAGAAGCAGCCACCAUUGAAAGAGUGCGUAAUAGCUCACUGGUCGAGUGACCCCGCGCCGAAAAUGUACCGGGGCUAAACAUAUUACCGAAACUGUGGAUGAACCUCUUUAGAGGUUCGUGGUAGGAGAGCGUUCUAAGGGCGGUGAAGUCAGACCGGAAGGACUGGUGGAGCGCUUAGAAGUGAGAAUGCCGGUAUGAGUAGCGAAAGAAGGGUGAGAAUCCCUUCCACCGAAUAUCUAAGGUUUCCUGAGGAAGGCUCGUCCGCUCAGGGUUAGUCGGGACCUAAGCCGAGGCCGAUAGGCGUAGGCGAUGGACAACAGGUAGAGAUUCCUGUACCAGUGCUAAUUGUUUAACCGAUGGGGUGACACAGAAGGAUAGGGAAUCGCACGAAUGGAAAUGUGCGUCCAAGCAGUGAGUGUGAGAAGUAGGCAAAUCCGCUUCUCGCNNNNNNNNNNNNNNNNNNNNNNNNNNNNNNNNNNNNNNNNNNNNNNNNNNNNNNNNNNNNNNNNNNNNNNNNNNNNNNNNNNNNNNNNNNNNNNNNNGCGAAGCAUGAGCUGUGAUGGGGAAGGAAAUUAAGUACGGAAGUUCCUGAUUUCACGCUGUCAAGAAAAGCCUCUAGGAAGAGUAGUACUGCCCGUACCGCAAACCGACACAGGUAGAUGAGGAGAGAAUCCUAAGGUGAGCGAGAGAACUCUCGUUAAGGAACUCGGCAAAAUGACCCCGUAACUUCGGGAGAAGGGGUGCUCUAUUAGGGUGCAAGCCCGAGAGAGCCGCAGUGAAUAGGCCCAGGCGACUGUUUAGCAAAAACACAGGUCUCUGCAAAACCGUAAGGUGACGUAUAGGGGCUGACGCCUGCCCGGUGCUGGAAGGUUAAGAGGAGUGCUUAGCUUCGGCGAAGGUACGAAUUGAAGCCCCAGUAAACGGCGGCCGUAACUAUAACGGUCCUAAGGUAGCGAAAUUCCUUGUCGGGUAAGUUCCGACCCGCACGAAAGGCGCAACGAUCUGGGCACUGUCUCAACGAGAGACUCGGUGAAAUUAUAGUACCUGUGAAGAUGCAGGUUACCCGCGACAGGACGGAAAGACCCCGUGGAGCUUUACUGCAACCUGAUAUGGAAUGUUUGUACCGCUUGUACAGGAUAGGUAGGAGCCGAAGAGACGUGUGCGCUAGCAUACGAGGAGGCAAUGGUGGGAUACUACCCUGGCUGUAUGACCAUUCUAACCCGCCACGCUUAGCGCGUGGGGAGACAGUGUCAGGUGGGCAGUUUGACUGGGGCGGUCGCCUCCUAAAGAGUAACGGAGGCGCCCAAAGGUUCCCUCAGAAUGGAUGGAAAUCAUUCGCAGAGUGUAAAGGCACAAGGGAGCUUGACUGCGAGACUGACAAGUCGAGCAGGGACGAAAGUCGGGCUUAGUGAUCCGGUGGUUCCGCAUGGAAGGGCCAUCGCUCAACGGAUAAAAGCUACCCCGGGGAUAACAGGCUUAUCUCCCCCAAGAGUCCACAUCGACGGGGAGGUUUGGCACCUCGAUGUCGGCUCGUCGCAUCCUGGGGCUGUAGUCGGUCCCAAGGGUUGGGCUGUUCGCCCAUUAAAGCGGCACGCGAGCUGGGUUCAGAACGUCGUGAGACAGUUCGGUCCCUAUCCGUCGCGGGCGCAGGAAAUUUGAGAGGAGCUGUCCUUAGUACGAGAGGACCGGGAUGGACACACCGCUGGUGUACCAGUUGUUCCGCCAGGAGCAUCGCUGGGUAGCUAUGUGUGGCAGGGAUAAACGCUGAAAGCAUCUAAGCGUGAAGCCCCCCUCAAGAUGAGAUUUCCCAUUUCUUCGGAAAGUAAGAUCCCUGAAAGAUGAUCAGGUAGAUAGGUUUGGAGUGGAAGUGUAGCGAUACAUGGAGCGGACAAAUACUAAUCGAUCGAGGACUUAACCAA